GACGAACGCUGGCGGCGUGCCUAAUACAUGCAAGUAGAACGCUGAAGUGAGGAGCUUGCUCUUCUUGGAUGAGUUGCGAACGGGUGAGUAACGCGUAGGUAACCUGCCUUGUAGCGGGGGAUAACUAUUGGAAACGAUAGCUAAUACCGCAUAACAAUAGGUGACACAUGUCAUUUAUUUGAAAGGGGCAAUUGCUCCACUACAAGAUGGACCUGCGUUGUAUUAGCUAGUAGGUGAGGUAACGGCUCACCUAGGCGACGAUACAUAGCCGACCUGAGAGGGUGAUCUGCCACACUGGGACUGAGACACGGCCCAGACUCCUACGGGAGGCAGCAGUAGGGAAUCUUCGGCAAUGGGGGCAACCCUGACCGAGCAACGCCGCGUGAGUGAAGAAGGGUUUCGGAUCGUAAAGCUCUGUUGUAAGUCAAGAACGAGUGUGAGAGUGGAAAGUUCACACUGUGACGGUAGCUUACCAGAAAGGGACGGCUAACUACGUG
rnacentral:rRNA from 1 species